rnacentral:rRNA from 1 species
UACAGAGGUGGCAAGCGUUGUUCGGAAUUACUGGGCGUAAAGAGCUCGUAGGCGGUGUGUCGCGUCGGCCGUGAAAACCUGCAGCUUAACUGUGGGCUUGCGGUCGAUACGGGCAUCACUGGAGUUCGGCAGGGGAGACUGGAAUUCCUGGUGUAGCGGUGAAAUGCGCAGAUAUCGGGAAGAACACCCGUGGCGAAGGCGGCUCUCUGGGACGGUACUGACGCUGAGACGCGAAAGCGUGGGGAGCGAACAGG